rnacentral:rRNA from 1 species
AACGCUGAAGAGAGGAGCUUGCUCUUCUUGGAUGAGUUGCGAACGGGUGAGUAACGCGUAGGUAACCUGCCUUGUAGCGGGGGAUAACUAUUGGAAACGAUAGCUAAUACCGCAUAACAAUGGAUGACACAUGUCAUUUAUUUGAAAGGGGCAAUUGCUCCACUACAAGAUGGACCUGCGUUGUAUUAGCUAGUAGGUGAGGUAAUGGCUCACCUAGGCGACGAUACAUAGCCGACCUGAGAGGGUGAUCGGCCACACUGGGACUGAGACACGGCCCAGACUCCUACGGGAGGCAGCAGUAGGGAAUCUUCGGCAAUGGGGGCAACCCUGACCGAGCAACGCCGCGUGAGUGAAGAAGGUUUUCGGAUCGUAAAGCUCUGUUGUAAGUCAAGAACGGGUGUGAGAGUGGAAAGUUCACACUGUGACGGUAGCUUACCAGAAAGGGACGGCUAACUACGUGCCAGCAGCCGCGGUAAUACGUAGGUCCCGAGCGUUGUCCGGAUUUAUUGGGCGUAAAGCGAGCGCAGGCGGUUUGAUAAGUCUGAAGUUAAAGGCUGUGGCUCAACCAUAGUUCGCUUUGGAAACUGUCAAACUUGAGUGCAGAAGGGGAGAGUGGAAUUCCAUGUGUAGCGGUGAAAUGCGUAGAUAUAUGGAGGAACACCGGUGGCGAAAGCGGCUCUCUGGUCUGUAACUGACGCUGAGGCUCGAAAGCGUGGGGAGCGAACAGGAUUAGAUACCCUGGUAGUCCACGCCGUAAACGAUGAGUGCUAGGUGUUGGAUCCUUUCCGGGAUUCAGUGCCGCAGCUAACGCAUUAAGCACUCCGCCUGGGGAGUACGACCGCAAGGUUGAAACUCAAAGGAAUUGACGGGGGCCCGCACAAGCGGUGGAGCAUGUGGUUUAAUUCGAAGCAACGCGAAGAACCUUACCAGGUCUUGACAUCCCGAUGCUAUUUCUAGAGAUAGAAAGUUACUUCGGUACAUCGGUGACAGGUGGUGCAUGGUUGUCGUCAGCUCGUGUCGUGAGAUGUUGGGUUAAGUCCCGCAACGAGCGCAACCCCUAUUGUUAGUUGCCAUCAUUCAGUUGGGCACUCUAGCGAGACUGCCGGUAAUAAACCGGAGGAAGGUGGGGAUGACGUCAAAUCAUCAUGCCCCUUAUGACCUGGGCUACACACGUGCUACAAUGGUUGGUACAACGAGUUGCGAGUCGGUGACGGCGAGCUAAUCUCUUAAAGCCAAUCUCAGUUCGGAUUGUAGGCUGCAACUCGCCUACAUGAAGUCGGAAUCGCUAGUAAUCGCGGAUCAGCACGCCGCGGUGAAUACGUUCCCGGGCCUUGUACACACCGCCCGUCACACC